UCCACAAGGCUGGGGAAGAGCUGGGCCUUGUGUCUGCGCCAGCAUAUUCCUACAGCUUCUCAGAGUCCUUUGGGCAAUGACUGAGCGGAUAAAUCAUGCAGGAAACAAUG
ensembl:snoRNA SNORA73 Small nucleolar RNA SNORA73 family